AAUGUGGCUCUUUUCAGAGCCACCAGACUGGCAGAAGACAGGAAUCU
rfam:Gasterosteus aculeatus cont1.000520, whole genome shotgun sequence.